GGGGCCUUAGCUCAGCUGGGAGAGCGCCUGCUUUGCACACAGGAGGUCAUCGGUUCGAUCCCGAUAGGCUCCA
rnacentral:tRNA from 1 species